rnacentral:rRNA from 1 species
CCUACGGGAGGCAGCAGUGGGGAAUAUUGCACAAUGGGGGAAACCCUGAUGCAGCAACGCCGCGUGAGUGAAGAAGUAUUUCGGUAUGUAAAGCUCUAUCAGCAGGGAAGAAGAAAGACGGUACCUGACUAAGAAGCACCGGCUAAAUACGUGCCAGCAGCCGCGGUAAUA